UGGGGCGGGGACGGAGCGCGCUUGAACGGUGACCGCGCCGGUGGAGAAGCCAACAGGCCGCCGGCGGCCUCGGGGCGGCCGGGUUAUCAGUUUAAAUGCUGUUUUCUCAGAGGCCUCUCCUGAUCACCCAAUCUAAAAUAGCACCCCCACAAAGACCAGCUACCUGAUUGGCACCACCCGGCGCAAAAUGAAGAUGUGAGGGAUCUUGUAAGAAAAGGAGGAUAAAAAUGGUAUGAAAGGUAAAAAAAUAGAAAGCUUUUCCCCUUCUUUAAGCUCUCUCAUGUCAUGGUGUUUUUUUGUUUGUUUGUUUGUUUGUUUGUUUGUUUGCUAUUUAAUGUCAUUCUCCAUAAAGAAAAGUUAAAGUUUUAGAUUA